ACUUUGCUGAUGAAACUGAUGAAACUAUGACUGUUCAUGUUGAUUUGAUUGCUUCUACUACUCUCAUUUGUAAGUCGUUUUGGAGAAAAGCGUCUGUUAAGAGACUAAAUGUAAAUGUAAAUGUAAAUGUAGUACAUCACAGCUUGACAAAUGUAAUUAUGAAAAUGAACUCAAAAACGAGGUGGUUAAUACACUAAAUUCACCAGCAGGGGGAAGCAUCCCUUAAAUUCUUGUGCAGUUGCUGAAAAUAAUCAAGAGAAGCUAAAGAGAGAUUCACCAUAAGGAGAGACUCACAUUAGUUGUUUUUCUCUCACUCUCUUCAACUCAGAGCAACAAUGACAAAAUGGCUGAUUAUUGUUCUUUUCUUCACGGCACAUGAUUUAGUGUGCUGGGGACAGGACAGUGUUGAUCAGCCUUCAAGAGAAGAGACUUCUGCUGAGGGAAAUCAAGUGACUUUAUUGUGUAAUUAUACCCUCAUGAGCUCUGCAAAUGCUUAUCUCUUCUGGUACAAACAGCUUCCAAACAGAUCACCAACAUUCAUUCUGAGUGACUUUUCCAUUGGGAAAGGAACGACAGAGCCUGAAUUUGAGGAGAGAUUUCAUGCCAAACUGGAUUCCACAUAAGAAACAGUUCCUCUGAUGAUCCAGGAUGUGUGUGUGUCUGACUCUGCUGUGUAUUACUGUGCUCUGAAGCCCACUGUGACUCAAACACACUCAACACUCACACAAAAACACAUUUCUCUGAUAUUGAUGACAAAUACAUAACCAUAAUGAAUCCUUGAGGAGGAGGAGACGUUCAGUAUUGAGGAACUGUGGUUCAGUCAGACUCCUCCUGCAGGUCUCUGAUAUGUGUCAGUGUUAGUACAACUUUAUCAAAGAGAGGCUGAAACAAGAGUCUGCUGUAGAUUUCAACAAGUUCAUUUUAUCUAA